rnacentral:rRNA from 1 species
GACGAACGCUGGCGGCGUGCUUAACACAUGCAAGUCGAGCGGUAAGGCCCUUUCGGGGGUACGACGAGCGGCGAACGGGUAGAGUAACACGUGGGUGACCUGCCCUCAGCUCUGGGAGUAAGCCUGGGAAACCGGGUCUAAUACUGGAUAUGACUCCAUGACGCAUGUUGGUGGGGUGGAAAGCCUUGUGCGGCUGAGGAUGGGCCCGCGGCCUAUCAGCUUGUUGGUGGGGUGACGGCCUACCAAGGCGACGACGGGUAGCCGGCCUGAGAGGGCGACCGGCCACACUGGGACUGAGACACGGCCCAGACUCCUACGAGAGGCAGCAGUGGGGAAUCUUGCGCAAUGGGCGAAANCCUGACGCAGCGACGCCGCGUGAGGGAUGA